UAAUACGAACUGUGCGAACGUUAUUCGGAAUCACUGGGCUUACAGGGUGCGUAGGCGGCUAUUCAGGUCAGGUGUGAAAGCCCUCGGCUCAACCGAGGAACUGCGCUUGAAACCGGAUGUCUCGAGUCAACUAGAGGUGCACGGAACUUCCAGAGGAGCGGUGAAAUGUGUUGAUAUUGGAAGG
rnacentral:rRNA from 1 species